rnacentral:rRNA from 1 species
UACGUAGGGUCCGAGCGUUGUCCGGAAUUAUUGGGCGUAAAGAGCGCGUAGGCGGUCCGAUAAGUCGGCUGUGAAAGUCCAGGGCUCAACCCUGGAAAGCCGGCCGAUACUGUCGGACUAGAGUCCGGAAGAGGCAAGUGGAAUUCCCGGUGUAGCGGUGAAAUGCGCAGAUAUCAGGAAGAACACCGGUGGCGAAGGCGGCUCUCUGGGCCUUACCUGACGCUGAGGAGCGAAAGCGUGGGUAGCGAACAGG